rnacentral:lncRNA from 1 species
AACUGACCAAGAAGGUGUAGGGCUACGAACCCUUACUUUCUAGGAUACAACUCCGAGAUUAAUUCUCGUCUUAAUCAACUAUCAACAAACUGUCCUGAGCUUGAAAAAUGGAUAGGAAGAGGGGUGAGAUUAUGAUUACAUAAUCCCAGUGAGUAAACAGACACUAUCUAAACUAUCUAAAGGCGAGUAAAGGGAGACAAUUAAAAAUAGUUCAUUUCAGCAAAUUUUUCACAACACGAAUAUUCAUUUCAACCAAAUAAUCAAUAUGGCUCGUGAAUUUCUCAAAACUUGGCUCCUGCCAAAAUCAUUCUCGCGGGUACCUUCGUCAAGGUAUCCCAUUGAGACCACCAAGGCUGUUAAAUGUCCUAUACUCAUAAACAUGUUUUCGCAUCUGACACACAGCUGUUCCUUGGCGUUGGCUGAGUCUCACUCUCACGCAGUGGUUAACGUGAAGUGCACUCAAAAAGCCCACCUCAAGAGAUACCCUACGCGCCUCUACGACCGAGGUGAGAAUAUAAAAGAGUUUACCGUGCCUCUCUAAUAGACUGAUCCACGGAACCCCCCACCACUACAGUAACUAAUCUUUAAUUCACCAAUUGAUCAAAUCUCAAUGGCAUAGCAUGGCAAUUACAUUACUAACCAAUUUAUCAAGGCAAAAUAGACAGUUCAUAUUUUUCAACACAAGUAUAAAUUCAGCCAAUCAUGCCAAUUUAUCACAAGCCAUUUAAUUCAAAUCAUAAUUUUACAACACAAGUAGGCAACCUCCAAUUACUCUAUUUUCAAAACCAGUAUUCGAUUUUCUAGAAAAUUUAUAAAAUCAUUUUAUAAAAUCACAAUUUCUCCUAAAACAUAGCAAUUUACCAUUUAAACUCAUUUUUCAUAAAAUCACACAAUUGUAUAAAACUACUCUAGAUAAUUAAGACGAUAAUAAGUUCACUCACAGUAUUAGGAGUAGAAAUACUCAUAUUUUCAGUCCGCGGGUGCAAUCCUUUACUCGUAUCCAAUGGCUCACCACCUAGCCAUAAUCCAUGACACAUACUCCAAUUAAAUUGUGUCUAACAGUCAUAAGCUAUUUCAGGCUCGAUAUAUAUGCAUGAUAUGAAAUGAAAAAUGCACGGGUAGCCAUCUAGACUCAGUAUUGGCCUAAGUCGAUUUUUCAUCCGAUAAAUUGGCCAAUGCGUCCAAUUUCACUCCAACUUGCUCCAUUUCUUUUCCAAUCCCUCAAUUCACCAAGCACAACUAAUUAACACACAAUUAGGCAAAAUUUAUCUUCACUUUUCUUCUUGAAACUUUCGGCCAACAAUGGUACACUAACUUCGUGAUUUUUCCUACUUAACUUUCUCUCCAUAAUUCAUUAAUUCCUACACCAAAAAACUAUUAUUUCUUAAUCAAAUCACCUAAAAUAACAUCCCAUUCUUCCUCAUUAUUCACUUAGAGAAUUCGGCUAUUGAUGGGUUCCAAACCUUUGGUGGUUUUCUUCACUUGUUUUCAUACUACACAUCAUUAAUCACCUCAAAACACUAACAUACCUAAAAAUCAAACCAAUCCAAGAUCAUUCUCUCUCCAUACCCAUUUUGACCAGCCAUGAAUUUAUCAUGAAUACAUGUAAUUUAACCAUGGAAAUUAAGGAAAAAUGCACGGGUAAGGUAAAUCACUAGCAAAAUCAAAGAAAUUUUACCUUUACUUGAUCAAAUCUUUGAAUUCCAACACUUUCUCUUUAAUUUUUCCCACCUAGGGUUUGUUCUUCCUUGGUUUCUCUUCUCUUCUGGUUUGGCUGAUCACUAUGGGAGAAAUGG